rnacentral:rRNA from 1 species
AAACAUGUUUUUUUGAAAAUAAUUUAAAGUUUAAUCUGCCCCCUGAUNAAAUUAUUAAAGGGCUGCAGUAUUUUGACUGUACAAAGGUAGCAUAAUCAUUAGUCUCUUAAUUGGUGACUUGUAUGAAAGAUUGGAUGAAAUAUAUACUGUCUCUAUUUAAUUUAUAAAAUUUAAUUUUUUAGUAAAAAAGCUAAAAUGAGUUUGAAAGACGAGAAGACCCUAUAGAGUUUAAUAUUUUAUUUAAUUAUUAUUAAUAUAUAAAUUUUAAAAUUAAAAUUAAAUAAAUUAUUUUGUUGGGGUGAUAGAAAAAUUAAAUUAACUUUUUUUUUAUUUUAUACAUUAAUUUAUGAAUAAAUGAUCCAUUAAUAAUGAUUAAAAGAAAAAAUUACCUUAGGGAUAACAGCGUAAUUUUUUUUUUUAGUUCAAAUAGGAAAAAAAGUUUGCGACCUCGAUGUUGGAUUAAGAUAAAAUUUAAAUGCAAAAGUUUAAAAUUUUAAUCUGUUCGAUCAUUAAAAUCUUA